rnacentral:lncRNA from 1 species
CUGCCGCGGCCCUGAGCUCACCUGAGGCGGAGGCGCCCGCGACUCCCCGCCAGCUCCGCCAGUCUCCUCCAGCCCCGGCCCUCGGGCGCCUGAUCCAGGAGCUCGCUGAGCCUCCGCAGCAGCGGCUCCCGCAGGCGGUUGAGGGUCGCGCCGGCCGGAGGGGCGAGCAGCGGCCCCGUGGGGGCGGCCGAGGGCGGCAGGGCCUGUAGCGGGUCCCCCAACAGCGACAUGGCCCUCGCCGGCGACCCCGGACUGCCGGGGCUCCCGCCCGCCCCGUCACGGGCCUCGGCCCCGGGGCACCUUCCGCUCGCCUCCGAGCCGCGGAGGCAGGGGCGGAAGAACAAAUCUGGCAGCGCGGCACGGCCCUCAGAGGAGGAAGCUCCGCUCCCCGCCCCAAUUAGACAGGUUUGCCGAGGGGAGCCUGGCCUGCUGGCCGCGCCAGCCGCGCAAAGGGGCGGGGCACCCGGGGGGCGGGGCACGGAGCCUCGAGGGGCGGGACCUUGGGCCUCGAGGGGCGGGGCGGGGCUGCCUACUGCGUGCGUGCGGCUGCGCGCCUCCCUCGCCCUCCCCCGCGGUCCCGGGCUGGCCGUGGCGCGCGCUUCAAACCCAGCCCUCCCGAGCAGGAAAGGACGGGUGGGUGCAGCUGGAGGAGGAAGCGGUGGAGGAAUUACGCCCCGGCAGCUCCUCUACGGCGGGGAAGCCUGCGGCGUCUGGGCUUCCUGAGACCGUGGGAGGAGGCCUGCGUACUCACGCCAGAGAGCGGGGCAAGCGGUUCUCAGUCGCCGGCUCCCGCCCGCAGUCCCCGGCGAGCGCUCUCCCCUGACUCAGGGACUUUCAUGUGCCCGGCGACACACCAGCAUCCUGCAGUGGGCAACCUCAGCGGACGCUUCCUCGUUUUAGGGAAUCAUCUGGUUUACACCGCGUCAGACUGCCGCCCGCAAUCUCCGUCAUCAAAGCAGGCAACCCUGUAGAGGAUGCCUUUCCCUGGAAUGAUCCGGAAUGGACGACACCUGAGCUCUCUCUGCCAAUCUUAGCAACAUCCAAGGCCAUUAUCCCUUUGAAAACUAUGGCUUCGUUUGGGACAAAAAGGAAGUAACUUACGAAAUGUGACCAGUCAGGUAGUUCCCUACACGAGGCUUCCUGGCCCAAUUUCUGUUGCCAUUAGCUUUUCAUCACCCAAGGCCGCAGGAUUUUCUGACCAGUAAUUUGGAUACCUAUAUUCUUAUACAUGUUGGCGAGGUAGGUGCGCCAUACAGUCUCCACCACAUUCUAGCACAAGCAGUCAUUAAACUUCACUCUAGCAUAAGUUAAGAAUUCAGACUGCAGUGAGAUGGCUAAGAGCAUGAAAGAUCUGCUCGAUUCAAGUGUUAGGAGCUUGAAUAAGUUUCUUAAUUUCUCUGCCUCAUCUAUUAACACAGGACUGACAAUACAGUUUAUAUAGAGUUGUUGCCAGAAUUAAAGGAGUUGAUGUAUGUGAAGCACUUAACUCGGUAACUGGCACAUCGUAGAUGACUCAGUAAAUGCUAUUACCCUUACACAUACAAGUGCCGUUUCAUACUCAGUUUGACUUGGCAAGCCUUUCCCAACCGCUUCAGGUGCCUUCCUGUUUUGUCCUCAAUUACUGUACAAAUAUUUUCUGAGGAUCUGUUACCUGCAUGUGCCAAUUAUGGAAAUAAAAUCUUCUAGUCUUUACUGGAAUCCUGCCUUUUAAUUUAAAUUCAACAGAGGUCUUCUAAAUUUAGACUUCUUAGAAAAGUCUGCCAUGUACAAAGCGUUGCUUAUGCAACCUCUCGUGUGCAUACGAGUUAAAUGGGUGCCAGUGUUAUUUACUCUUAGCCAAUAUAGCUCAGCUGGGCACUGUUUUGACCUCGAGUUGUACGCCCCCACCCUGGCUUCCCAAGUGACUGCCUCCCUCGUUUUACCCUACUCCCAACCUUUUUUUCCACCUAGCAAUUUUAUACCCUAUCCAGUCACUACCCGCCACCCUCCAUCCUCUACCCAAACUGACAUUACCUUUUUUGACUGGUCUUUUUCUCUCCUCAAUCAAAUGUUAAUAUUUCUAUGACAUAAUUUCACUCCUGUGGUUCUCUUAUGGGCAUAAUGGUAUAGUAGAAUGU